CGCGGCCUAUCAGCUUGUUGGUGGGGUAACGGCCUACCAAGGCGACGACGGGUAGCUGGUCUGAGAGGACGACCAGCCACACUGGAACUGAGAUACGGUCCAGACUCCUACGGGAGGCAGCAGUGGGGAAUCUUGCACAAUGGGCGAAAGCCUGAUGCAGCGACGCCGCGUGGGGGACGAAUGCCUUCGGGUUGUAAACCCCUUUCGGCAGGGAAGAAGCGCAAGUGACGGUACCUGCAGAAGAAGCUCCGGCUAACUACGUGCCAGCAGCCGCGGUAAGACGUAGGGAGCGAGCGUUGUCCGGAUUCAUUGGGCGUAAAGCGCGCGUAGGCGGUUUGGCAAGUCGGAUGUGAAAUCCCGAGGCUCAACCUCGUGACUGCAUCCGAAACUGCCCGACUAGAGGUAGGUAGGGGAGAUCGGAAUUCCUGGUGUAGCGGUGAAAUGCGCAGAUAUCAGGAGGAACACCGGUGGCGAAGGCGGAUCUCUGGGCCUUACCUGACGCUGAGGCGCGAAAGCUAGGGGAGCGAACAGGAUUAGAUACCCUGGUAGUCCUAGCCGUAAACGUUGGGUGCUAGGUGUGGGCGGAUAUCGACCCCGUCCGUGCCGAAGCUAACGCAUUAAGCACCCCGCCUGGGGAGUACGG
rnacentral:rRNA from 1 species